UGGGGAAUAUUGCACAAUGGGCGAAAGCCUGAUGCAGCGACGCCGCGUGAGGGAUGGAGGCCUUCGGGUUGUAAACCUCUUUCAGUAAGGGUGAAGGCUCUCUUUUGUGGAGGGUUGACAGUACUUGCAGAAGAAGCGCCGGCUAACUACGUGCCAGCAGCCGCGGUAAUACGUAGGGCGCGAGCGUUGUCCGGAAUUAUUGGGCGUAAAGGGCUUGUAGGUGGCGUGUCGCGUCUGCUGUGAAAUUCCAGGGCUUAACUUUGGGAUUGCAGUGGGUACGGGCAUGCUAGAGUGCAGUAGGGGAGAUUGGAAUUCCUGGUGUAGCGGUGAAAUGCGCAGAUAUCAGGAGGAACACCGGUGGCGAAGGCGGGUCUCUGGGCUGUUACUGACGCUGGGGAGCGAAGGCGUGGGGAGCGAACAGG
rnacentral:rRNA from 1 species